GCCGAAGUGGCGGAAUUGGCAGACGCGCACGUUUCAGGGGCGUGUGCCCGCAAGGGCGUGAGGGUUCAACUCCCUCCUUCGGCACCA
rnacentral:tRNA from 1 species